CUUGAUCGACCCCAGCAACAGGGGUCGGUCGGCAAUCCGUUCCCGGCCGUACGUGGCUAUCAGCGCCUGGGCCUC
rnacentral:antisense_RNA from 1 species